rnacentral:rRNA from 1 species
UACGGAGGGUGCAAGCGUUAUCCGGAUUCACUGGGUUUAAAGGGAGCGUAGGUGGGGUGGUAAGUCAGUGGUGAAUUCUCCGGGCUUAACUCGGAAACUGCCGUUGAUACUAUCAUUCUUGAAUAUUGUGGAGGUAUGCGGAAUAUGUCAUGUAGCGGUGAAAUGCUUAGAUAUGACAUAGAACACCGAUAGCGAAGGCAGCUUGCUACACAAUUAUUGACACUGAGGCUCGAAAGCGUGGGGAUCAAACAGG